CCUACGUGAGGCAGCAGUGAGGAAUAUUGGUCAAUGGGCGAGAGCCUGAACCAGCCAAGUCGCGUGAGGGAGUACUGCCCUAUGGGUUGUAAACCUCUUUUGUCGGGGAGCAAAAUCCGGCCGUUUCCCGCUGUUAGAUUACCCGCAGAAACAGCAUCAGCUCACUCCGGUCCAGCAGCCGCGGUCAUACUGAGGAUGCGAGCGUUAUCGGGAUUUAUUGGUUUUAACGGGUACGCAGGCGGAUGUUUAAGUCAGCGGGAAAAUCGUGGGGCUAAACCCCAUCCCGCCGUUGAAACUGGGGAUCUAGAGUGUGUGAGAGGUAGGAGGAAUGCGUGGUGUAGCGGUGAAAUGCAUAGAUAUCACGCAGAACACCGAUUGCGAAGGCAGCAUACGGGGGCAAAACUGACGCUCAGGCACGAAAGCGUGGGUAUCGAACAGGAUUAGAUACCCUAGUAGUC
rnacentral:rRNA from 1 species